rnacentral:rRNA from 1 species
UACAGAGGGUGCGAGCGUUGUCCGGAAUCACUGGGCGUAAAGGGCGCGUAGGCGGGCUGCCAAGUCCGGGGUGAAAGCCUCCGGCUCAACCGGAGAACGGCCUCGGAUACUGGCGGCCUGGAGGCGGGUAGGGGCGAGCGGAACUGUGGGUGGAGCGGUGCAAUGCGUUGAUAUCUAUCGGAGCGCCGAAGGUGACACCAGGCCGCUGGGCCGAUUCUGACGCUGAGGUACGAAAGCGUGGGGAGCAAACGGG